UACGUAGGUGGCAAGCGUUAUCCGGAAUUAUUGGGCGUAAAGCGCGCGCAGGCGGUGGCGUAUGUGCCGUGUGAAAGCACCAGGCUUACCUUGGUGAGGUCACGGUACACAGCGUUACUUGAGCCUCGGAGAGGUCGGUGGAAUUCCGGGGUGGAGCGGUGAAAUGCGUAGAGAUCCGGGAGGAACACCAGAGGUGAAGACGGCCGACUGGCCGAGGGGCUGACGCUGAGGCGCGACGGCGUGGGGGAGCAAACCGG
rnacentral:rRNA from 1 species